AAGCCAUCUCAACUGGAUUUGCAGAUGAGCAGAACUGCCCUGUAGCAGAUAAUCUCACGGACUUCUCCGAUCGAUCCGUAGCCAGGAGCACACGGGAUACCCUGCCGCUUUGGAUCGCGCCUAUCUAUGGGAGAAGCUGUGAGCCCUGUCCACCCAGAGUCCACUACCUGUAUCGUUUCUACCGGCGUUGUUACGUCAUCUUCCCCUACAGACAGUGGGUCAGAUACGUCACGUGUCCGUCCAAAUGCAACGAACCGUGUUGGGGUUCCAAUACAAGAUGCGUGCCAACACGCUACAUCCGGGUGUGGGUG